rnacentral:pre_miRNA from 1 species
CUUAUACUCCCUCCGUCUCAAAAUUCUUGUCUUAGAAUUGUCUAGAUACGGAUGUACCUAAUACUAAAACGUGACUUGAUACAUCCGUAUUUAGACAAAUCUAAGACAAGAAUUUUGAGACGGAGGGAGUAUAUU